rnacentral:rRNA from 1 species
AUCCCAGACUCCUACGGGAGGCAGCAGUGGGGAAUAUUGCACAAUGGGGGGAACCCUGAUGCAGCAACGCCGCGUGGGUGAAGAAGUACUUCGGUAUGUAAAGCCCUGUCAGCAGGGAAGAAAAUGACGGUACCUGACCAAGAAGCCCCGGCUAACUACGUGCCAGCAGCCGCGGUAAUACGUAGGGGGCAAGCGUUAUCCGGAUUUACUGGGUGUAAAGGGAGCGUAGACGGCAAGGCAAGUCUGGAGUGAAAGCCCGUGGCUCAACCACGGGACUGCUUUGGAAACUGUACGGCUGGAGUGCAGGAGAGGUAAGUGGAAUUCCUAGUGUAGCGGUGAAAUGCGUAGAUAUUAGGAGGAACACCGGCGGCGAAGGCGGCCUGCUGGACCGCGACUGACGUUGAGGCUCGAAAGCGUGGGGAGCGAACAGGAUUAGAUACCCCAGUA